rnacentral:rRNA from 1 species
GACGAACGCUGGCGGCGUGCUUAACACAUGCAAGUCGAACGGAAAGGCCCUGCUUUUGUGGGGUGCUCGAGUGGCGAACGGGUGAGUAACACGUGAGUAACCUGCCCUUGACUUUGGGAUAACUUCAGGAAACUGGGGCUAAUACCGGAUAGGAGCUCCUGCUGCAUGGUGGGGGUUGGAAAGUUUCGGCGGUUGGGGAUGGACUCGCGGCUUAUCAGCUUGUUGGUGGGGUAGUGGCUUACCAAGGCUUUGACGGGUAGCCGGCCUGAGAGGGUGACCGGCCACAUUGGGACUGAGAUAGGGCCCAGAAGCCUACGGGAGGCAGCAGUGGGGAAUAUUGCACAAUGGGCGGAAGCCUGAGGCAGCAACGCCGCGUGCGGGAUGACGGCCUUCGGGUGGUAAACAGCUUUCGCCUGUGACGAAGCGGGAGUGACGGUAAUGGGUAAAGAAGCACCGGCUAACUACGUG